rnacentral:rRNA from 1 species
CGACCGGCGCACGGGUGAGUAACGCGUAUCCAACCUGCCUUACACUCUUGGACAGCCUUCUGAAAGGGAGAUUAAUACAAGAUGUUAUCAUGAGUAAGCAUUUUCACAUGAUUAAAGGUUUACCGGUGUAAGAUGGGGAUGCGUUCCAUUAGAUAGUAGGCGGGGUAACGGCCCACCUAGUCUUCGAUGGAUAGGGGUUCUGAGAGGAAGGUCCCCCACAUUGGUACUGAGACACGGACCAA